rnacentral:lncRNA from 1 species
UCCUUUAUAACAUCAAAAAUAAAAUUUACAAGAGAAAUAAGUUCGAAGGUAAUAAAGAAGAAUUACCAAACUCAAAACAAUUCACUUAAUUAAAAUAAAAACAAACAAUCUAAUAUAUUCACUUUCUUAUCUCGUAGCGGUUAAACAAACUAUGAAUUAUCAAAACAGAAAAAAUGUGUUCAACAAUGGAGAAAAUAAGGCAAUUAAGCCACUGUUUUUUCCCUAAUGUAAAAUGUUACAGCUUUCUGGAUCAGUGUGUCAUUCUUUGAACAAGCUCACCUUUUGAAUGAGUAUGGCAUUGUACACAUAUAGCGGCAGAUGGUUAGAUGACAAAAAAUUGACAUGACAAUUACAUAUCUUACUCACUAAGACUAGGUGACUAAAAUUUGAAGAAAUAGAGAAGAAAAUGGCAAUCUACCGGGAUUUUGAAGCAUCCCCAAGGAGAAAAAAAGAUCGAUAGUGGAUAAAUCAAUUCUGCAAGAUAAUGAUGAGCUUGCUAAUAACAUCAUAGACUUAGCAGUAAAAUGUUUGACUGAGGAUCCAAAUAAACGCCCAGAUAUGAAGGAAGUCUAUGCCAACUUGUCCAAUUUGGUUGGAACAACAACGUCAAAUAAAUCAAUUAUGCAAGAAAGUAAGGAAGGCUUUACCAUCUUGUCCAAAUAUAGUAAGUUGAACAUGUAAAGCUCGAUGUAUAAACAGAAUAUCAACAUUUUGUAUUUUGUAUUUUGUAUUUUGUAUAAACAGAAUAUCAGCAUGAGUAGGCUAUAAAUGUCUGCAAUUUCAUCUUCCAAAUUAUUCUACUACUAUUGGCACUAGUUACCUAGUGUUACCUAGAAGGAUUACGAUGUAACAUAGCUAAGGCAAUAGCUUCAAAAUUCAGUAUAACGAGGAAAUAGAUUUGGAGAAAGACAUACCUGACAUAAUCCCAAUGUGCUUUCUCCCAGAAACAUGGCAACAUAUGCAAAAAGGAGGCUGGUUUUCAGUAUAUCCGUGAUAGUGGAAAAGAAGGGAGGUUUCCACAGUUCACUACAAUAUUAUCAAAAGCAACUUUAAGAUAACACCUUAAAACAAUCACAAAAAUAAAUAGCGUAAGCUUGAGACAAGUAACAGAAACUUGGCUGGAAAAUAAAUAAAUUGCAGCAGCUUUAAAAUAGUUAAUAUGCACUCACCUUCUAUAGGAGAAAUUUGAAAUUUCAGUCCAUAACAAUUUCUAUACCAUCAACUCCACCUCUUACCCAAUCAUUAUUGUCAUCCUCUAAAUCACAAAUAUUUUCUAAUAUAGUUAAAUCAGUUGUAUCAUUGAUGAGUCAAAUCGUAUACCAUUUUCUUCUCCCAUAUAAAAAAUGUAUCGUUGUUUAAUUGACCUUGGGACAAACCAUUCAUGAUCUUCAGGAUCUUGAACAAAUAUCACUUGUCGAGCUUGUCCAACAAAAACAAAUGGCUCAAUACUUACCCGAUCAUCUGAAUGCAUUAGAUGUGAGUAGUUCACAAGCGUGAAACCUAAGUCGUCUUUCAUAACUCCUCGGCCUUGAGUUACAUCAACCCAAUCACAUUUAAAUAAGAUGACUUUAAAUUUUUCAUAGUAGUUCAACUCAACAAUAUCAUUCAAUCUGCCAUAAUAUGUAAUAUUUGCUGAUUUCGGAGCACUGUCACUAGUACUUGCACUAUCAUCGAGACAACCGGAACCCCAUUAUUUUGGGUCUACAUGAACUCUUCAUACUGUUUUGUACGAAAUCGAUACCCAUUAUCAUAUGGAAUGCCUGCACUCUGCAGUAUCAUUUUUCCAAGCUCAGAAGCUUCUUGUUGAGUGGCACAGAGAGAGAAAAAGAUUUCAUCUUUGAAGAAAACAAUGUUGAAGAUAGAAAAUGGGGAAGAGAGAGAACAAGAAAAGAUCAAGCCCCAAAACAUACAAAUGUAGAAGUAGCCACCCCUUCUCAAGAAUCUCAACAUCAAGAACCAAUAGCUUCUCUAAGCAGUGAAAGAGUGUUGAGGAUGAAACAAGAACCCAAACUAGAUGUUGGUUCAGCUCUACCGCCGCCUCUGGUAAACACUUCAGAUCUAAAUUUUGGUGAUCAUAUGUUCUCUUUUCUGUUUGGUUCAGAGUAAAAUAAAAUAAAGGGCUUACUGCACUCACUUGUUUUCUUUCUCCUCAAUUUCUUAACAAUCAUGGUGGUCUUUUUUUUUAUGAACUGUGUUAAGAUUGUAUUGCAUGUUGUAUUAUCUUAAAUGUGUUAGCCUAUGUUGAGAGGUGCUGAAGAGGGGAGUAUAUUUUGAUGAUUUGUGCUCUCUUCUAGAGUGGUAGGGCUAAUGCAAAUGACUUUUGUUCAAAAAAAUUCUGAACUGCAAGAGUUAUAGAAUGAGUAUGAGACAUAUUGUUUGGCUAGUGGGUUAUUACAUAAAUACUUAAGCAUGAUUAGCAGAUUGCACUGGUUAUAUAUUCACUCUGCUUUGAUAGUUGAAAAGGGAUAAAGAUUUGAGAGGAUCAGGACAAAGCAACUUCAUGUUCUAUCAAUAAAUAAAUAAAAUAGUUAUAUGUUCUUAAAAGGAUAUGCUCUUUCCUUUAGACAGGUAAUGGUGUUUUAAGAUUAAUCAUUAGAAGCUAUUUUCUAUUAAGGAGUUGUCUUAAUUUUUUUUCGUUAACAUGUUUGCUCCGAACUAUUUUGUACUGUACAGAAGCCUACACAUAUAUGUUUGGACUUUAAGAUCUAUAUUGCUUGCUGUUCAUCAAAGUAUUAUUCUAGCACUUGGAUUACAUGACAUGUUGAAAGGCUUUGUUGGUUUAUUUGAUUUUCAUAAGUCCCUACAUAGACAAAUAGACUUGCAUCAACUAGCUGCCUGUUCCUAUUUGUUUUGACAGGGAUUUGCGCCACCAGAUACUUCACCUUCCUAUCUGAGGUAUCAAACUUGGAUAUCUUUAACGGCAUUACUUGGUCGGUGUGAAUCUAAUACUGUAACAUCAGAGUCUCCAAUUCGACAUGUUAAGAUACUUUAUUGAAAUUAUUUUCAAACUCUCUUGAUAAGUAAGAGUGAACUUUCAUCAUAGGUCAUUUUCAUGGUAGUGAAAUAGAUAAAAGUUGUUAGAGCGAUGAGUUAUUGUGUGAUAUUUGUAAUGAUUCAGCUGUUUAGCUGUGGUAGUCAUCUGAAAAAUAAAACUACCUACAGAAAACUAAUCAUUAAAAAACUGAAAAACUAGCUAUACGCGGAGGAAAUGACAAUGGGGAUAUAAAUCACAUGAUAUGCAUUAAUCAAUUAAUGUGAAAACAAUCUCCCAAAUGAUGCAUCACUACUUCGGUCAGUUCCUGUAUAAGUAACAGAACUCUCAAUUGUAACAUUAGGUAUACAUUUUCUCAAUCAAUAACAAUCUUAUCUCUUCUCUGGAAAGUAUAGAACUCAAUUAGGGUUCUAGAGUGAACUGUUCAAGAACAAGUUUCAAAUAACAGUUUAUAUUUACCUCACAACGACUAUUGAUCCUGAGAUAGAGAAUUUCACGUCGUUUUCUCAAGUUAAAUAUAGAAGAAAACAUAAUCUACUAAAUGUACACAGGUUUUUCAGCUAUGUUUUCUUCAAAGUUAUACGAAGCUAAUUAAAUCAAACCCAAGUUUAUCUUGUUGUGUGCUUACCAACAAGAAUGAGAGAUCGAGCGGAAAGAAAGAGAAAGAGAGAUUACCUCUUGCUGCGUGCUUCAGAUCGAGCAAAAUGAAACAAAAAUUGAUUUGUGUUUCAGAUCAAAUCCACCAUAGCCAUGGAAGGAAGCUUCAAAUCAAUCCAGCGCUUCAGAUGGAUUGGAGAAAGAGAGAUCAGGUAUUUUGGGAAUUUGAG